GAGUAAUGUCUGGGAAACUGCCUGAUGGAGGGGGAUAACUACUGGAAACGGUGGCUAAUACCGCAUAACGUCGCAAGACCAAAGAGGGGGACCUUCGGGCCUCUUGCCAUCAGAUGUGCCCAGAUGGGAUUAGCUUGUUGGUGAGGUAACGGCUCACCAAGGCGACGAUCCCUAGCUGGUCUGAGAGGAUGACCAGCCACACUGGAACUGAGACACGGUCCAGACUCCUACGGGAGGCAGCAGUGGGGAAUAUUGCACAAUGGGCGCAAGCCUGAUGCAGCCAUGCCGCGUGUAUGAAGAAGGCCUUCGGGUUGUAAAGUACUUUCAGCGGGGAGGAAGGUGUUGCGGUUAAUAACCGCAGCAAUUGACGUUACCCGCAGAAGAAGCACCGGCUAACUCCGUGCCAGCAGCCGCGGUA
rnacentral:rRNA from 1 species